UACAGAGGUGGCAAGCGUUGUUCGGAAUUACUGGGCGUAAAGGGCGCGUAGGCGGUCUUGUCAGUCCCUUGUGAAAUCCCCCCGGCUUAACCUGGGAACUGCGUCUGAUACUGGAAGGCUUGAGUGCGGGAGAGGGAUGUGGAAUUCCAGGUGUAGCGGUGAAAUGCGUAGAUAUCUGGAGGAACACCGGUGGCGAAGGCGGCAUCCUGGACCGACACUGACGCUGAGGCGCGAAAGCUAGGGUAGCAAACGGG
rnacentral:rRNA from 1 species